rnacentral:lncRNA from 1 species
AAACCCUUGAAUCAAGUCUCUCUCCAUCUCUCGAUUCUCGCCCGCUUCUCUCAAAACUCUGCCCUUGAUCUCGCCGGCUACUUCUACUUCCAGUCCACCGGUGGCCGGCCAUCUCCUAGAUUAGGGGCUCUAAUCUCCGACCCAGUAAGUGUAUCAAAUAUCCCCAAAGUCGAAACCCCAAUCCUCCUCCACCCAAGUCCGCAGGCGGCAACUGCCAUCGCCUCCCGCCAGGCACCAGCUGCUGCCCCUAAAGAAGAAGAACCGAAGAAAAGAAGCCGUAGGCGACUAGGCGGUAGGGGCUUACAGCUUUCAAGUUAUUGAUGCACACUUCUAGGUAUUAUUUUUUAUCGAGAUAAAAUGAUAAUUCUACACAAUCAUUGAUUUUUUUAUUUUUAUCAUCCUUUUAACUUCAAUUGAAAAGGAACGAAAAUCUUUAUUAAACUUACGGAGUGUUCUUAAUCUUGAAAAUAUCAUAGAAUUUUGGAUUUAUGCUCUGUGAAUUUCUUUUAGAAAAAACAAUUUGGAGUAAUUGUUGAAUGUGGAUUAAAAACCAAAUCUUUUCGAUGUUACUAUUGAAAAUUUCAGGAAUGUAUCUUCAUCUUUUGUUUGUGUCUAUUUCCUUAGUUUGCAAGUAAGUUAGGUUGUUGAAUAAACAGUAGAAUUGGCAAAGAAAAUGAAAGCUUGAAGAUACAGAAAUUGUUUGUUUAAAGCUUUUUAGAUUUUGAAAGGCAAAGUUUGAAGAACUGUGGUUGAGCUGUAAUCUAGAAUUUGGGGUUUAAGAUGCAAAGGGGAGAGAGUAGUUAAAUUAAUGACAAAGAAAAUUUUGGAAUUGGGGAUAUGCUUGAGGCUUCUCUGGACUUGUCUUUGGCUUUCGUGGAACGAAAUUUUAAGGGAUUAUAUUUUUUAUUUUUUUGGGUUAUAAGCAAUGGCCAAUAAGAUUUCCAGUUCCCAGUUAUCAGAUAAUGAAAUUUUGCACGUGUCUGGCCUUUGAAAUAUUUGAAUCUGAAUUGCAUGUAAGGGGGUUUCUUAAAGUCUAAAGAUAAGUAAAUAAACGUAACAUCUCUUAAGAGAUUAAGCUUUCAGUCAUUAUUGUUAAACAAAUGCCUCUUGACUUUUUCAGCUUUUCUGUGAAAUCUAUCAUCUGAUUAUUCAUGUAGUUGAAUAUCUAUUAUUUAUUUAUUUUAGGCAGAAUGCUUAAUGUACGGGUGGCACUAGUUGUCAUUUUUGUUCAAAUAUAAUUAAAAUUUGACUUAUUAAUACAUAAUGUUCGCCGGUGAUUUAGAAAUUAUCAUGAGAUAAGAGUCAACAGUGUGAAAUUGAGAUUGUGAAAGGUGAAUUGCACUGCGAAUUGAUAGGGUAUAUCCAUUGGUUUACAGACUUUUGGCUUUGACAUUGAUUUUACCGGUUGCUACAGCUACUGUGGAGAGUCUUUUCUGCAAUGAGUAUCGUAAACGAUAGAUUGCGCAAUCGGAUGGGUGAUCAGUGGAUGAAUGGUAGCACAAUUGUUUAUGUAGAGAAAGAUAUAUUUUUUAAGCUUGAUAAUGAAGUUAUUGUACGACGAUAUCGAAAUAUGAAAACUCGUAAGGAACAAGUUUAAUAUAUAAAUUAUGUCGUUUUCAAUAUUGUUUUAAUAUUAUUUUAUUUUUUUAUCAUCAUUAAAUCUAUG